rnacentral:tRNA from 1 species
GGUUCUAUAGCCUAAGGGUUAGGGCAGCUACCUGAGAAGUGGGAGACCCUAGAACCA